GAUGUGCAGACUCCAGGGCAGGAUACUCAUCCUAGAGGCACCAAGUGGGUCACUCCAGAUCUGGCCCAAAAUCUGACUUCUAUCAGAUAUUUGGUUAAUCUGACAAGGAAUUUUUCAAGGAAUUUGUGUGGGGAAGCAGAGAUGAAGCUCAAUACGUAGGAAGGUUCAUCCUUAUUUGUUUCAAAGAAAUGUUUUUUUUGAAGUUUCAAUUUGGGAAAUCAAAGAGUCAUCAAGGCUGGAAGUGAACUUCAAGUUAUCCAUUCCAACCAUGAACUCAACACCAACAUAAUCACCCCAAACCUGGAUCUCCAAAUGCCACAAAGGUCAGCCUCUCAAGGCAUCAUUAGGAGCUCCUCAAUUCCCACACAGCAUUCCUGCAGCGUGCAAAAGGGAGGCUGGAAAACGAGUGGCAGCUCCUAAGCCUCCCAAGAUUUGCUCCAAAGCCUGGAUUUGGGCAAGAUCAGCUUCCAAGCCCAGCUCCUCUCCAUCCAAUUCCAACAAACCCUCCGUCCUUUGGGAUCUCAUCCCUCUAGAAGAGAGCUGUGCUCUGAUUGCUUUGAUUUCAAGCCUUUGCUACCAGGCUGAUUUUUUUUUUUUUUUUACUGGGAAUCCAGGAAAACCUGUGUGAGGAGGAGCUUAAAGGCACUUCCAUGCCUGGUAUAACAUUCCAGGAUGGUCUGGGUUGGGAGAAAUCUUGUAGAUCAUCCAGUUCCAACUCCCUGCCAUGGGCAGGGACACCUUCCAUUAUCCCAGGUUGCUCCAACCUGGCCUUGGACAUUUCCAGGGAUCCACAGGCAGCAGAUGAAAAUCACAGGAACUUCCUCCAGUCUGAGCAGCUACAUCUUUUUGAGGCCACUUUUCCCUUUCCCAAGGGCCCGUGAAAUUCAGUUUCAAUUCAAAGCCCAACUCAUUUUCUGCAGAUGGCAUCUGCAAGCUACAGAAAAAUCAGUGUUUCAGCCAUCCAUCAGUCAUUUCUAUAUCAUUCCUCCCUGCAGAUCUCUCUGCUGCUUCCUGUAGCCAGUCUCCAGUUUCCCCAUCUCACUGUUUUAAAGAUUUUUUUUUGUCUCCUUUUGCACUGUCCUAAAAAAGAACCUGAAACACUCUUCCUGUGCCAAGGAAGAGAGAAGCUGUUGAUCCCCCAAAAAAAUGCCCAACACAGAUCAUUGCAAACCAAUAAAAACAACCAAAAGGUCUGUCCCCAGCCAGGUUUCUCUCCCCAGCAGGUCUAAACUGUUUGCCAGACUAA